GUUUCAGUGGGGCCACUCUCCAUUUCUCUCUGAAUUACUUUCUGUAGGUUGUAACUAACAGGAGGCAAUGGGUAGUGUUUCAGUGGGGCCACUCUCCAUUGCUCUCUGAAUUACUUUCUGUAGGUUGUAACUAACAGGAGGCAAUGGGCAGUGUUUCAGUGGGGCCACUCUCCAUCACUCUCUUUUCUUCCCAUCCUCUCCCUUCUACCUCUCUCUACCUGAGAGGAAGCCGGUGUGGCCACAGUAAACUAAACGUAUUUGCAGAUAUGAUAUGAUGUACGACAGCAGCCCUUCUCACCAACAUUACAUUCAACACUGUGAAUCUUGUCCUUUGCCAAACCAAGUGAUGUGGGGAUGAGUGGUGAGAAAAAUAAAGAAUUUC
ensembl:lncRNA